rnacentral:rRNA from 1 species
AUACGUAGGGGGCAAGCGUUGUCCGGAAUCACUGGGCGUAAAGGGCGCGUAGGCGGUUUGUUAAGUCAGGUGUGAAAGUUUUCAGCUUAACUGGAAAAGUGCACUUGAAACUAACUUACUUGAGUACUGGAGAGGUAAGCGGAAUUCCUAGUGUAGCGGUGAAAUGCGUAGAUAUUAGGAGGAACACCAGUGGCGAAGGCGACUUACUGGACUGUAACUGACACUGAGGCACGAAAGCGUGGGUAGC